rnacentral:rRNA from 1 species
AGCGAAAUGCUUCACACAUGCAAGGCUCCUUUUCUCCAUUUCCGGUAGCCGCACGGGUGCGUAAAUAACGUGGGAAUCUGCCGAAGCGGUACGGUAACCCGAAUGUGGUGGAACCUGCCUUCGAUGAGCCCGCGGAGUAUCAGGUAGUUGGUCAGGUAACGGCUGACCAAGCCAAUGACGCUUAGCUGGUCUGCGAGGAUGAUCAGCCACACUGGUAACUGAGACACGGCCCAGACUCUCCAUGAUGCUGCAGUGGGGAAUCUUGGACAAUGGGCGGAUGCUGCCUGAUCCAGCCAUUUGCAUUGCGUGGGAUAGGAAGGGUGGAGCUCGUAUAACCCUUUCGGCAUCGGAUCUAGCUAUUCCCCCCAUGAAACCUGCUCCCGAUCUUCUAUAUUCUCGAUGAAAACCCAUGGUAAGAAGCCCCGGCGAACUCCCGUGCCAGCAGCCGCGGUAAUACGGGGGGGGCAAGUGUUAUUCGGAAUGACUGGGCGUAAAGGGCACGUAGGCGGUGAUCACAUUCCAGCCAGUGAUGCAUCCGAUACUUCCCAUUCGCAUUAGUGUUGACCAUGCGUUGACCAUGCCUUUCCGAUCAUACAAAGUUAUUUCGAUCCACGUGGUUGUGGUUGCAAGGCGUACUUAUAUGAAUAUGAAUCUGAUGGUCACCUGCAUCCGCUGGGUAGCACGUAAGUUUCGCAAUCAAUGUUGUUAAAAUAAGUAGGUGCUGCCGCUAGAUUGGUGCAGUACAACUUGUGAAUGGUGCGCUUGCUGGGUAGGAUCGGUAGCAGGUGGUUGCAUUAGCUCACCGGAAUGUGUUGAUUGCAGCGGUGGCAACAUGGCAUUAUUCUAACUAAAAUAUGUCUAUCGAAUAUGGUGCUUCGGGACUGUUUCACCGAUAUUGCUGCUACCAUUUUUACCGCGGUAGAUGGAAUGCCAACGAAAGAUGCAGGGAAGCUAUUUGGUUGGAUUCGUUAGCUGCAUCACUCUAGAUCGGCGGGUGCAAUGGUUAAACGAGUGAUCGAUCGGGAAUAGCGGAAUGUCGUGUGGUAGGGAUCAAAUACUCCGAUAGACGAUGGAACGCCAAGCGAAGGCAGCUAUCCAGGUCCCACUGACGCUGGGGUGCCAAAGCAUGGGGAGCAAACAGGAUCAGAUACCCUGGUAGUCCAUGCCGUAAACGAUGAGUGUUCCGCUGUAAUCGAAUAUGGGGCGGCAGCUAACGUUUUAACACUCCGCCUGGGUAUUACGGUAGCAAUACGGAAACUCAAAGGAAUUGACGGGGGCCUGCACAAGCGGUGGAGCAUGUGGUUUAAUUCGAUACAACGCGCAGAACCUUACCAGCCCUGGAACAUCGGUGCCUUGCUAUUUCCGUUGCGCAUAUUCUUCCGGUGCUGCAUGGCUGUCGUAAGCUCGUGUCGUGAGAUGUUUGGUUCAGUCCCUUGGUCAACUAGCGAAACCCUCGUAAUGGCAUGCUCCAAUCCUUCCGUUUCAUCCGGUGCAAGUGGGAUUGGUGGAUGGAAUCAUGCAAUGGUAGCGCCCAUUAUUCGAAUUCGAUAGGGGCAAUUAGUCGAGGGGGCGGGGCAAUUAGUCGAGAGUAAAAGUAAAACGAUCGUGCAUCCUUUACGUACGCUAUUCGCUGCAACUGUUCCUAUUAUUUCCGAGAUCGAAGCGAUACGGCAAGAUUAGGUGCUUUCCAUUUCAUCCAGUGUUGCACCUAUGUAUGAUUGCACCGGUAGGAUCUAAGAAGCCUAUCCAUCUACUGCCAGCCGAAAUGCCGGAUGAAGGUGGGGAUGACGUCAAGUCCGCAUGGCCCUAAUGGGCUGGGCCACAACACGUGCUACAAUGGCAAUGCAACAAUCCCCCUGGUAUCUCGUUCGAGCAAGGCCUUAAGGCGGAGCGGAUGGAAAGAUUGGCCCUAAUGGUUCGGAUGGGUCUCUGCUACUAGAUCCGGAAGUAGGAAUCGCAAGUAAUCGCGGAGCAGCAUGCCGCGGUGAAUCUAGUACCCCGGUCCUGUACACACCGCCCGUCACACCCUGGUAUUUGCUCUCGCCUUGAACCCGUACAUCUACGUUAUGCGGUUAUAAAAUGUACCUUUCCCUCCUGGUGAGAUAGAUCGUCCUACCCAUUCGUGCUCUGGUAACUUGAGUGGUAUUCAAUCGCUUAUUCAUGGUGCCGGAAUAGGAGCAGCCAAUGUGAAACAGCAUGCGAUCAUCGGUAGGAGAAUGGUUGGAUCUCAGGUAAACGCGAAUUCAUAACUUCGUGAUACGCGUGAUAUUCCGUGUGUUCUGCUGGUUCCGCACGAUCAUGGUGAACGAUUGGCCGGCACUUACCCGGAUGAUGCUAUGCUUUCUGCCGUUAAACCAGAACUUUCUCUAAUGGCAGGAUCGCUCUAUCGGAUCAUCUAUUCUGAAUCCCGGUGCUAUUGUUCGCAUCUAUUUUUACGUGCAAUUCCAGUAAGGCAGCAAGGCCACGUGAUUGUUCUAGCAAUAUCUUUCAUGGGGGA